rnacentral:tRNA from 1 species
GCCUGGCUGGCCCAGCCAGUAGAGCAUGCAACUCUUAAUCUCAGAGUUGUGGGUUCAAGCCCCACGUGGGGUG